rnacentral:rRNA from 1 species
AACGAACGCUGGCGGCAGGCCUAACACAUGCAAGUCGAACGUGAAGCCGCCUUCGGGUGGUGGAAAGUGGCAGACGGGUGAGUAACGCGUGGGAAUCUACCCAAUGGUACGGAAUAACUCAGGGAAACUUGAGCUAAUACCGUAUGUGCCCGAAAGGGGAAAGAUUUAUCGCCAUUGGAUGAGACCGCGUCUGAUUAGCUAGUUGGUGGGGUAAUGGCCCACCAAGGCGACGAUCAGUAGCUGGUCUGAGAGGAUGAUCAGCCACACUGGGACUGAGACACGGCCCAGACUCCUACGGGAGGCAGCAGUGGGGAAUAUUGGACAAUGGGCGCAAGCCUGAUCCAGCCAUGCCGCGUGAGUGAUGAAGGCCCUAGGGUUGUAAAGCUCUUUCGACGGGGACGAUAAUGACGGUACCCGUAGAAGAAGCCCCGGCUAACUUCGUGCCAGCCGCCGCCGUAAGAC